rnacentral:rRNA from 1 species
ACUCUUAGCGGUGGAUCACUCGGCUCGUGGAUCGAUGAAGAACGCGGCCAAAUGCGAUAAAUUAGUGUGAUUUGCGAACACAUAGAACACUGAGACUUUGAACGCAUAUUGCGCCACUAGGCUUGCUCCUAUUGGCACGUCUGGUUGAGGGUCG